CCUACGGGUGGCAGCAGUGGGGAAUAUUGCACAAUGGGGGAAACCCUUAUGCCGCGCCGCCGCGUGCGCUAUGAAGUAUUUCGGUAUGUAAAGCUCUAUCAGCAGGGAAGAAAAUGACGGUACCUGACUAAGAAACCCCGUCUAACUACGUGCCAGCCGCCUCGGUUAGACGUAGGGGGCAAGCGUUAUCCGGAUUUUAUGGGUGUACAGGGAGCGUAGACGGCUGUGCAAGCCAGAUGUGAAAGCGCGGGGCUGAACCCCGGGAGUGCAUUUGGAACUGUGUGGAUGGAGUGUAGGAGAGGCAGGCGGAAUUCCUAGUGUAGCGGUGAAAUGCGUAGAGAUUAGGAGGAACACCAGUGGCGAAGGCGGCCUGCUGGACGAUGACUGACGUUGAGGCUCGAAAGCGUGGGGAGCAAACAGGAUUAGAUACCCUUGUAGUC
rnacentral:rRNA from 1 species